CUUAUAAAAACACAGUAUAGUACCUUAUAAAAGCACAGUGUAGUACCUUAUAAAAACACAGUGUAGUACCUUAUAAAAACAGUAUAGUACCUUAUAAAAGCACAGUGUAGUACCUUAUAAAAACACAGUGUAGUACCUUAUAAAAACACAGUGUAGUACCUUAUAAAAGCACAGUGUAGUACCUUAUAAAAACACAGUGUAGUACCUUAUAAAAACACAGUAUAGUACCUUAUAAAAACACAGUAUGGUACCUUAUAAAAACACAGUAUAGUACCUUACUGUGAUCAUCUCAGAUGUUCAUGUGAAAAAAAAAAACAUCUGUAUGCUGAUGACACAAUUAAUUCAUUUAUGCGUAUCUAAUAUUCAGAAGGCUUUUCAGGACUUUACAGUACAGACUUACAGGCUUUUGAUGUUAUUCAAAGGCAGCUUUUCCAAUUGAAACUUAAUGCAAGGAAAACAAAAAUGCAUGGUUUUCUCCUUCCCUGAAAGUUAACAGAUUGAGUCACGUGCAGAUUUUAACUAUACAAUUCCAGCAAAUUGAUAGGUUCAACUCCUAUAAGUAUCUUGGGAUUUAGUACUUUAUUGUGAUCAUCUCAACAAUGUUCAUGUUAAAAAUUUUAAAAAACGCUUUCUUUUUGUGGAGCAAAAUGAAUAUCUCACUAGGGACAACCACUACCAAGUUCGAUUUUGUUGUACAUGUGUUGAUAAGGCAUGGUGCAACGUAGAUAUAGGGCCCUAUUCAAUCAGAUCUGCUAAUCAGCGUAGUAUCUGGGAUAAGACGGAACACCAUCACAAACUGCUCUUUUGGUUUAACUCGGUAAACCUUUUAUUUUUACUAAAUUAAUCUAAAUGUCUUUCCCAGUCUCCUUUGUAAUACUGUACUGCUAACAUAUACCAAGACGGUUGAAUAUAUAAAACUACUAUUCCUUUGUAAUACUGUACUGCUAACAUAUACCAAGACUGUUGAAUAUAUAACACUACUAUUCCUUUGUAAUACUGUACUGCUAACAUAUACCCAGACUGUUGAAUAUAUAAAACUACUAUUCCUUUGUAAUACUGUACUGCUAACAUAUACCCAGGUGGUUUAAUAAAAC
ensembl:lncRNA